GUACUUGCUUUGGCAGCACAAAUACUAAAAUUGGAACAAUACAGAGAAAAUUAACAUGG
rnacentral:snRNA from 1 species